rnacentral:rRNA from 1 species
GACGAACGCUGGCGGCGUGCUUAACACAUGCAAGUCGAGCGGUAAGGCUCCUUCGGGGGUACACGAGCGGCGAACGGGUGAGUAACACGUGAGUAAUCUGCCCUUCACUCGCGGAUAAGCUUCGGGAACGGGGUCUAAUACGCGAUGUACACGAGCUCCGGCAUGGGGGUUGGUGGAAAGUGUUUAGCGGUGGGGGGUGUGCUCGCGGCCUAUCAGCUUGUUGGUGGGGUAAUGGCCUACCAAGGCGUCGACGGGUAGCCGGCCUGAGAGGGUGACCGGCCACACUGGGACUGAGACACGGCCCAGACUCCUACGGGAGGCAGCAGUGGGGAAUAUUGGACAAUGGGCGGAAGCCUGAUCCAGCAACGCCGCGUGAGGGAUGACGGCCUUCGGGUUGUAAACCUCUUUCAGUGUCGACGAAGCCUCAUUUUGGUGGGGUGACGGUAGGCGCAGAAGAAGCACCGGCCAACUACGUGCCAGCCGCCGCGGUAACAC